AUGGAUUCAGAGGAGGAGUCUGCUUCUGAGGAGGAAGUGGUGGAGUCUGAGGAGGAGUCUGACUCCGGUGUCGCAAGUAUGGCUCUAGCUACAGCCUACGUCGCCAAGUCCAUCUUCAACACUGAAGACAAUGACUCCGUCACCAACACUAAUGACGAGAACGACUCAACUCCCACCUACUGCUUCAUGGCACGUGGUGCCAAGGUAAACUCUCGCGAUGCUUACUUUCAAACAUCAAGUGAAGAUGACUCUGAUGGUGAUUCCAAACCUAGCUACAAAAAACUUGCUAAAACUGCAACUGAACAGCAGAAUGCCAUGGAACAUAUUCAAAAACUAUUAGACAAAAGCAAUGACAUGUUGGACGCGGAAAUGACUAAGACUCGGUCCUUGAUUGAAGACAUAAAAAAUCUUCAUGUUAAGUACCAGGAACUUGAAGGUCGUCAUGAAACCCUCUCAACAUCUCAUGAAAAGCUUUCCUACGAUUAUCUUCAAAGGAAGCAGGAACUUGAGAAAUUGAGAUCGGAUGAUGAAGAUCUUCAAAAAGAGAACGAGUCACUUCACGCUCAACAGAUCAGUCCCGCUCAGGAAGGAUUUGAACCACCAUGUCUAAUAUGCAUUGAGCGUGAUAACGCUGCCUCUGUUGCUGAAUGUUCUACUGCUACUCCUGUUGCAAUACCUUCAACUGAUGAUGUGGUAACUAACCCCUCUAUUGAGGAUACCACCACUAUUGUUGAUGAGAAUGCCAGGUUGAAAACACUGCUUGAGACAGGGAUGUACAAAAGCCUCAAAGGGCAUCAGACAUUAUGUGAUGUCCUCAAAAAGCAGAUUCUGAACCGAAACCCUAGAAAAGAGGGUGUUGGGUUCGAGAGGAAAAUGAAUGUUGAUGGGUCGUACUGGAAGCCUGAGCAGUACCCCAAAACUACCUAG
rnacentral:rRNA from 1 species